GACGAACGCUGGCGGCGUGCUUAACACAUGCAAGUCGAACGGAAAGGCUCCUGCUUGCAGCGGUACUCGAGUGGCGAACGGGUGAGUAUCACGUGGGUGCUCUGCCCUGCACUUCGGGAAAAGCCUGGGAAACUGGGUCUAAUACCGGAAAGGACGAAGGUUUGGAUGCUAUUCUGGAAAGUGUUUCGGUGUGGGAUGAGCUAGCGGCCUAUCAGCUUGUUGGUGGGGUAAUGGUCUACCAAGGCGUCGACGGGUAGCCGGCCUGAGAGGGUGUACGGCCACAGUGGGACUGAGAUGCGGCCCAGACUCCUACGGGAGGCAGAGGUGGGGAGUAGUGCACAAUGGGCGCAAGCCUGAUGCAGCGACGCCGCGUGGGGAAUGACGGCCUGCGGGUUGGAAACUCCUUUCGCUAGGGACGAAGCGCAAGUGACGGUACCGGGAGAAGAAGCACCGGCUAACUACGUG
rnacentral:rRNA from 1 species